AAUGAACGUUGGCGGCGUGGAUUAGGCAUGCAAGUCGUGCGGAAAGGCCCCGCAAGGGGUACUCGAGCGGCGAAAGGGAUAGUAAUGCGUAGGUACCUGCCCUUAGGCCUGGGAUAGCUGGGGGAAACUCCAAUUAAUACCAGAUAAUGUCUCCGGACCAAAGGUGUGAUUCCGUCUAAGGAGGGGCCUGCGUCCUAUUAGCUAGUUGGUGGGGUAAUGGCUCACCAAGGCAACGAUGGGUAGCGGGUGUGAGAGCACGACCCGCAUCACUGGGACUGAGACACUGCCCAGACACCUACGGGAGGCAG
rnacentral:rRNA from 1 species